rfam:Zootermopsis nevadensis contig9768, whole genome shotgun sequence.
GCCACGGUGGUCUAGCGGUUAGAACGCUGGCCUUGUAAUCCUGGGGUCUCGGGUUCGAUUCCCGGCGGUGCCC